rnacentral:rRNA from 1 species
ACGAGUGGCGGACGGGUGAGUAACACGUAGGUAACCUGCCCAGAAGCGGGGGACAACACUUGGAAACAGGUGCUAAUACCGCAUAACAAUUCAAAUCGCAUGAUUUGAAUUUGAAAGAUGGUUUCGGCUAUCACUUCUGGAUGGACCUGCGGCGCAUUAGCUUGUUGGUGGGGUAACGGCCUACCAAGGCAGUGAUGCGUAGCCGAGUUGAGAGACUGAUCGGCCACAAUGGGACUGAGACACGGCCCAUACUCCUACGGGAGGCAGCAGUAGGGAAUCUUCCACAAUGGGCGCAAGCCUGAUGGAGCAACACCGCGUGAGUGAAGAAGGUUUUCGGAUCGUAAAGCUCUGUUGUUGAAGAAGAACGUGCAUGAGAGUAACUGUUCAUGCAGUGACGGUAUUCAACCAGAAAGUCACGGCUAACUACGUGCCAGCAGCCGCGGUAAUACGUAGGUGGCAAGCGUUAUCCGGAUUUAUUGGGCGUAAAGAGAGUGCAGGCGGUUUCUUAAGUCUGAUGUGAAAGCCUUCGGCUCAACCGAAGAAGUGCAUCGGAAACUGGGAAACUUGAGUACAGAAGAGGGCAGUGGAACUCCAUGUGUAGCGGUGGAAUGCGUAGAUAUAUGGAAGAACACCAGUGGCGAAGGCGGCUGCCUGGUCUGUAACUGACGCUGAGACUCGAAAGCAUGGGUAGCGAACAGGAUUAGAUACCCUGGUAGUCCAUGCCGUAAACGAUGAGUGCUAGGUGUUGGAGGGUUUCCGCCCUUCAGUGCCGGAGCUAACGCAUUAAGCACUCCGCCUGGGGAGUACGACCGCAAGGUUGAAACUCAAAGGAAUUGACGGGGGCCCGCACAAGCGGUGGAGCAUGUGGUUUAAUUCGAAGCUACGCGAAGAACCUUACCAGGUCUUGACAUCUUGCGCCAACCCUAGAGAUAGGGCGUUUCCUUCGGGAACGCAAUGACAGGUGGUGCAUGGUCGUCGUCAGCUCGUGUCGUGAGAUGUUGGGUUAAGUCCCGCAACGAGCGCAACCCUUGUUACUAGUUGCCAGCAUUNAGUUGGGCACUCUAGUGAGACUGCCGGUGACAAACCGGAGGAAGGUGGGGACGACGUCAGAUCAUCAUGCCCCUUAUGACCUGGGCUACACACGUGCUACAAUGGACGGUACAACGAGCAGCGAACUCGCGAGGGCAAGCAAAUCUCUUAAAACCGUUCUCAGUUCGGAUUGCAGGCUGCAACUCGCCUGCAUGAAGUCGGAAUCGCUAGUAAUCGCGGAUCAGCAUGCCGCGGUGAAUACGUUCCCGGGCCUUGUACACACCGCCCGUCACACCAUGAGAGUUUGUAACACCCAAAGUCGGUGGGGUAACCUUUUGGAGCCAGCCGCCUAAGGUGGGACAGAUGAUUAGGGUGAAGUCGUAACAAGGUAGCCGUAGGAGAACCUGCGGUUGGAU